rnacentral:misc_RNA from 1 species
CUCAAAGGGGAGUAGCUCCGGGGCUUUGCCCUUAGCACAAUCGUCAUUCCGGGACCGCAGUCCCCGGUUGUGCUGACCACCGGCGCGCAUACCGCGCCAGUGGUCGAGCAAGACCU